GGGUUGUGAGGUUAAGCGACUAAGCGUACACGGUGGAUGCCCUGGCAGUCAGAGGCGAUGAAGGACGUGCUAAUCUGCGAUAAGCGCCGGUAAGGUGAUAUGAACCGUUAUAACCGGCGAUUUCCGAAUGGGGAAACCCAGUGUGACUCGUCACACUAUCAUUAACUGAAUCCAUAGGUUAAUGAGGCGAACCGGGGGAACUGA
rnacentral:rRNA from 2 species